rnacentral:rRNA from 1 species
GAUGAACGCUGGCGGCGUGCCUAAUACAUGCAAGUCGAGCGAACGGACGAGAAGCUUGCUUCUCUGAUGUUAGCGGCGGACGGGUGAGUAACACGUGGAUAACCUACCUAUAAGACUGGGAUAACUUCGGGAAACCGGAGCUAAUACCGGAUAAUAUUUUGAACCGCAUGGUUCAAAAGUGAAAGACUGUCUUUCUGUCACUUAUAGAUGGAUCCGCGCUGCAUUAGCUAGUUGGUAAGGUAACGGCUUACCAAGGCAACGAUGCAUAGCCGACCUGAGAGGGUGAUCGGCCAGCCUGGAACUGAGACACGGCCCAGACUCCUACGGGAGGCAACAGUAGGGAAUCUUCCGCAAUGGGCGAAAGCCUGACGGAGCAACGCCGCGUGAGUGAUGAAGGUCUUCGGAUCGUAAAACUCUGUUAUUAGGGAAGAACAUAUGUGUAAGUAACUGUGCACAUCUUGACGGUACCUAAUCAGAAAGCCACGGCUAACUACGUG